rnacentral:lncRNA from 1 species
AACGAUAAAACAGGCAAACGUACUGUUGCUUGUGAACAAUGCGAUGAAUUGAUACAUUUCAACUGUGCUGUUUUAAAAGACAGUGAGAUUAAUAAGAUAAGAGACAAUCCAUUUGCCUGUCGCUUAUGUAUUGAACAUAACCUAUUAUAUAGUAAUACUGUAUUGAAAUGGUCCAUAACAAGACCUAUGUAAAAACACAGCCAAGGAAGUGCUACAUUUAAAUCAACAAGAACCAGCAAUUGAGUUUAAAGAAAAAAACAAAGACCACUCUUCACUCCACCAGAAAAGGGAAUGGAAAGAACUCAACAAAAUAUCCAGAUUGUUAAAACCAACAGUAGCAUAGUCAUAUAAACAGAAGAAUCGUAAUCAAACGACCAAAAUAUGCUAACAACCUCGAACUCUUUACAGGUAGUUGCGCUAAUUAAAAUAGCAAUAGAACCAGAACAAAGACCAACUGUAAAGAAGAAAAAUACCAGCAAUCAAAGAAGUUCGAGCCAGAUUAAAGGCCAAUAAACAAAAUCUAAAGAUAUUGAAGAAUUCAAAAAUACAUAUAUGAGCGGGAAAACAAACGUUAAGACCGAGACUAGAAAAUAAACCUUUUGGAACGAAAAAUGGCACUAUUAGAAGGUAACAUACAAAUCAACAGAUAAGAACUAAUAAACAUUUAAAUUAAUAAUCAAACAGGUAACCACACAAUAAUCGAUGCCAUUCAAUGUCAAUAUCAGCUCCUCUCCAACAACAUUCGGGCUUUAGAACAGCAAAUGUCUCAGCACAUAUCUAUCACUACUGCAUUGACAACACACAUUGCAAUGUAACUGCAACAGUCUGUUUCAUCAAGGAACAAAGUGCCACCGGUAGCUAUCCAUCUGGGCUGGUACCACAACUAGCUCCAUACAUACAAGGACAAUCACAAAUAUAUCAUCAACAUCCGAUAUAUUAUUAUACUGCUCAACCAG